rnacentral:rRNA from 1 species
GACGAACGCUGGCGGCGUGCUUAACACAUGCAAGUCGAGCGGUAAGGCCCUUUCGGGGGUACACGAGCGGCGAACGGGUGAGUAACACGUGGGUGACCUGCCCUUAGCUCUGGGAUAAGCCUGGGAAACUGGGUCUAAUACCGGAUAUGACUCCAUGAUGCAUGUUGUGGGGUGGAAAGCCUUGUGCGGCUAGGGAUGGGCCCGCGGCCUAUCAGCUUGUUGGUGGGGUGAUGGCCUACCAAGGCGACGACGGGUAGCCGGCCUGAGAGGGCGACCGGCCACACUGGGACUGAGACACGGCCCAGACUCCUACGGGAGGCAGCAGUGGGGAAUCUUGCGCAAUGGGCGAAAGCCUGACGCAGCGACGCCGCGUGA